GCUGUCCUUCUGCCGCACAGUGAAGUGUUGCGCAAUUGUAUACAAUUACCGUUUGUGCCUUCUCCGCUUAGAUCAGCGACGUCGCAAACAAAAAGCGUAAGGCUCCCUCAGUGGACGCAUGCACAUCUGACGAUUUCACGCGAUCGUGUCCCCGUGUAGUGUUUUGCUACUAGCGUGAGAGAUAAAACACUUGCGCGCAAAUCUUCAUAAACUGUAGUUUCGAAAGUUUCUGUCUUUUGCAGUGCAAUUCGUUUGUGUCUUCUCUGGGUAAACUGCAGGAGUAAAAUUGAUCUGCGUCAUGAACUUAUUACUUGCACUGUCCAUCGUUCUGUCCGUGAGUGCCCAAGUGUCCACGCAAGAUGUCCUCGACGAUGUGAAGGCGGAGGAGGGCGUGGAUGAGGGCCCUUUGCCUUACCCCACUUUGUACGCUGUGCCAGAUACCAGUUUCCUUUGUGGCUUCCGGUGGGGAUUCUUCGCUGACCCAGAAACACAAUGUCAGGUCUUCCAUUUCUGCCGCGGUGGUCGCACUGACAGCUUCCUGUGCCCCAACGGGACAUUGUUCCACCAGAACUACCGGAUUUGUGACCACUGGUACAACGUUCCUUGUCCAUAAAAGGGGAUGGCGGUUGCGACAAGAGUCGACCAGCUUGUGCGGGACAUCGCAAUAUAUUCAGUGUAACAAUGGCAGCUACAUCUCAGAUUUUGUAUUACAGGAUUUGUGAACCAUCAAUGCCUAGAGAGAUGUAGCUGAAAACCGGCUUUGAUACUAUUCAGAAUAUUAACGUCAAAACAGAUUUUGUGUUAAAAUGAAAUUAGGCGAAGUGUUUUGUUUGGUAACUGUUGAGUGUUUUGAAAAGUAUAAAUUCGGAUAUAUUACCAUAUUGCACUUAAAUCCUGACAAAUGCUUUGCACUGCAGACCUACCUAUAAGGAACGUGUAAAACUUCUUAAUAAAAAGAUAAUGUAUUAAAA